rnacentral:rRNA from 1 species
UGGGGAAUUGUUCGCAAUGGGCGCAAGCCUGACGACGCAACGCCGCGUGGAGGAUGAAGGUCUUCGGAUUGUAAACUCCUGUUGCUCGGGACGAAAAGCUUCGACCUAACACGUCGAAGUCUGACGGUACCGUGUGAGGAAGCCCCGGCUAACUCUGUGCCAGCAGCCGCGGUAAUACAGAGGGGGCAAGCGUUGUUCGGAAUUACUGGGCGUAAAGGGCGCGUAGGCGGCCUGCUAAGUCGAACGUGAAAUCCCUGGGCUCAACCCAGGAACUGCGUCCGAUACUGGUUGGCUUGAAUCCGGGAGAGGGAUGUGGAAUUCCAGGUGUAGCGGUGAAAUGCGUAGAUAUCUGGAGGAACACCGGUGGCGAAGGCGACAUCCUGGACCGGUAUUGACGCUGAGGCGCGAAAGCCAGGGGAGCAAACGGGAUUAGAUACCCCGGUAGUCCUGGCCCUAAACGAUGAAUGCUUGGUGUGGCGGGUAUCGAUCCCUGCCGUGCCGAAGCUAACGCAUUAAGCAUUCCGCCUGGGGAGUACGGUCGCAAGGCUGA